rnacentral:rRNA from 1 species
GACGAACGCUGGCGGCGUGCUUAACACAUGCAAGUCGAACGGAAAGGCCUGCUUUCCCUUGUGGAUUGCGGGUACUCGAGUGGCGAACGGGUGAGUAACACGUGAGUGAUCUGCCCCCAACUUGGGUAUAAGCCUGGGAAACUGGGUCUAAUUCCCGAUAGGACUGCAGGGUGGUGCCUGUGGUGGAAAACGAUUUUCUAGUGGUUGGGGAUGAGCUCGCGGCCUAUCAGCUUGUUGGUGGGGUAAUGGCCUACCAAGGCGGCGACGGGUAGCCGGCCUGAGAGGGUGGACGGCCACAUUGGGACUGGGAUACGGCCCAGACUCCUACGGGAGGCAGCAGUGGGGAAUAUUGGACAAUGGGCGGAAGCCUGAUGCAGCGACGCCGCGUGGGGGAUGACGGCCUUCGGGUUGUAAACUCCUUUCGACCGCGAGGAAGCCACCUGGUUGGAAGGGUGGUGACGGUAGUGGUAGAAGAAGCACCGGCUAACUACGUG